AGUCAUGUGGCCGAGUGGUGAGGUGUGGGUCUGCAAAACCCUUAACGGCGGUUCGAAUCCGCCCAUGACGUCAA
rnacentral:tRNA from 1 species